AGUGAACGCUGGCGGUAGGCCUAACACAUGCAAGUCGAACGGCAGCACAGUAAGAGCUUGCUCUUACGGGUGGCGAGUGGCGGACGGGUGAGGAAUACAUCGGAAUCUACUUUUUCGUGGGGGAUAACGUAGGGAAACUUACGCUAAUACCGCAUACGACCUACGGGUGAAAGCAGGGGAUCUUCGGACCUUGCGCGAUUGAAUGAGCCGAUGUCGGAUUAGCUAGUUGGCGGGGUAAAGGCCCACCAAGGCGACGAUCCGUAGCUGGUCUGAGAGGAUGAUCAGCCACACUGGAACUGAGACACGGUCCAGACUCCUACGGGAGGCAGCAGUGGGGAAUAUUGGAAGAGGGGCGCAAGCCUGAUCCAGCCAUACCGCGUGGGUGAAGAAGGCCUUCGGGUUGUAAAGCCCUUUUGUUGGGAAAGAAAAGCAGCAGGUUAAUACCCCGCUGUUCUGACGGUACCCAAAGAAUAAGCACCGGCUAACUUCG
rnacentral:rRNA from 1 species